GGGGACCACAGCUGUAUAUACAGGGAGGGGGUGGGCUCUUUGUCAUGAGCUGUGAUUGGUCCGUCCUUCAGACAGAUGUGGUGUAAUUGGUGCUUCCAUAGUCUAUCACGCCUGAGGUAUUUUCCACAGUGAGAUACCUCGCUCUGUUCUCAGAGAACCAGGGUUAUGCAAGUAACCUAAUGUUUGUUUGUUUUUUUAGAAAGAGCUCCAACCAGAACACUUUAAGGAAACAAACAACCCUAAACUAUCCAAAGAACCUGAGAGGAACUCUUUUAUUCUCCCCAAAUGCUGGAGAAAACACAAAACUAUACAACUCAGAGAAACAAAAAAUAUAUAUGAAGAGGACAGAACAUGGAAAAAGACUGAUGUUACAAGAGAGAAAUAAAUGUAGAUAGACAGACAGCACGCAGAUACAGUCAUCUCUGUGUGUGUGACUGUGGAUGAUGGAAACGGGGUCCGGCUCGGCCGAAACCGAAACCGGCCGAAACCGGCGCUGAUGUCACUCACAUUAACUGCAGAAAACAUGUUUUCAAUUUCAGCCUGGUUCCAUUAUUCCAGAUGUCUCCAAAAGAAAUAAAUCACUUCCUUCCUGUAAGAUCGGUUAUGAAACACUCCUGCAGAUUCAUGAGCUAAUCGAUUAAACGAACACGUUAUGGAUCAUCAUAGACACUAACUCAUCAGGACAAACCGAGCCGUACUGUAUCUGCGCGAAUCGACAACGUGCGGCACAGUCAUGGGGUUCAAACGUAAAUCUGACAGAACGGUGGCGUCUCUCUCUCUCUCUCUCUCUCUCUCUCUCUCUCUCUCCGUUUUUCAUGUUCACGUGUUCGAUGUGGACGGCGGUCUGUCACCGGGAGCAUCGCUGGGUUUCUCCGGGCCCAAUUACAAACCCGAAAAUAGUCUUCGUGCGGCGUGAACAAAAGAUCUGCUGCAGAGCAACCUUUCGCAGACGAGGUUUGGAAAAGGUCGUGUUCCACACACACACACACGCGCGCACACGCCGGAGUCCUCUUCUCCAGCGGCUUGCUACUGCACCAUACACACGGUUCACACUCCGGCGCAUGUACCGGAGGAAAAAAACACGAUAUAUCCGCACACAGGUGGAUUUAUUUAUUUAUUUGUUUAUAUUCUUAAAAAACGAAACAUCACACUUUUUUUUUUUUUUUGGUCAGUUCACGGCGACGGUUAACGUUAUGGAACGUCCACGAAGCGAGCUCGUUCCUGUUGUCACUUACGUUAUAGCAGCUACAGACAAAAGUCUCUCUUAACGUUAACAAGUUCGAACUGACAAAACAAAAAACGUGGGAAAAACGUAAACCGUCAACUCCGCUGUUACACUUUUACCUCAGACCGUUCCAAAUCGCUGACGCUGGAGACUCCUUCCGUAAAUGUUAAACAGCACAGAUGCACACGUUGCCAGUUGCUCCACACACGCACCAGUACACCGGAGCAAAGCACGACCAUGGCUUGACUCAAAUACGUUUUUAUCUCGGGUUGAACCAUUUUCAAUGCUUUUCACCCAGAUAGUAGUUUUGAAGAUAGUUCAGGUCGACAUUUCCAUUCUGUUACCUCAGGUGUGUGCCCGGGGAAACGGUUGCGUUUGUUGUUUUUGUUGUCCGUAAGCCACGUUUUUACGCAGGAGCCCGAGAGAGGCUUGAUGAGAAACGGAAAUAGAAGCAAAAUGGAGUAGCAGCUGGAAGGAAACGAGUGCGGAUGGGACGAAUGGGUAUAAUAUCAGUCGUUAUGUCUGCUGGGGUUUUUACGUUUCAGAAGCUAUCGCAUUCCCAAACAGUGUGUAACGUUGAAUUCUGUUGAUUGGUCUUGAUGAAUUUUCUAGGACAGCAGCUCUGACACUAAUGCAGCUGCAAAUCACAGGUUUUAAUAUAUUAAUGCGCUCGUUCUAAUACCUUAUCGUUUCUAUAGUAACGGCUCAUUCACGGGGACUAGUAUGGUGGAUGUGCGACUAAUAAUAAAGGAAUUCAAAAACGUGUUGAUAUUUUUUGUGAGGAGGUUUAUUUAACGUGUAUUGGAAGGAGUCUCCAGUGUCAGUGCUUUGGAACAGUCAGAGGUAAAAGCUGUGACCCUGAUAACUGGGUAAUGGUUUCAGGCCACCCAUCCCAUCAUGCAUCCUAACCGUGACACUACAGACACACCGCACACUUAUCCUCGGUUUGUUCACAGUUCCACUUCCACGAUAGCAAAGUACGUGCUGUGUAUGAACAACACCUUUGUGCUUAAUAUGCAUCCAAAGCUCAUUUACCUUUCAGUUAAUUACGUGUGACGACUAUUACCAGGUCAGUCGAUUAAUGAUUAAUGUUCCUUGUGGUUUAAUCUGGGAUAUGUCUCAGGAGAACCUUGCUGAGGGAGGUGGCCUAAGAAAAGGGAAAAAUGAAGGAGCUGAAUGCCUCGGUGUAAAGAGCACAGAGGCUAAUUUUCUAGCAAAAGUGUCCAGAAUGUGGAGGGAUGGCCUGGACUAGCAGGAAGAAGACUGGCAGAAAACCGUAAAGGUUUGGAAGUUCGGGAUACGUCAGUAAUGGAUUGUAACAAGCUCGCCUGAGAGAAACCAAAGCUCGUGAGGUCGAUAGCUUUAAUCUGACGUUAGAAAAAAGGCUGACUGUAGGAGGGAGGAGACUGAAUGGGUUAGUAAGAGUCAAGUUUUGUUAGAAGGGCUUGAAAAGGAAACUGGAAUGUUGGCUUCAGGUCCCGUCUUCAGCCAUGUGUAAACUGCGCCAGCUUUCACGAACCUGGAUACCAACCUUGUAUCCCGAUAUGCCGCCUUUCCAUGCAGCUAAUCUCCCAAGAGAGUACAUGCGUUAACCUUAACCCCAGCAUUCCAUGCUAAUGUGUGCUAUUCUGUCAAAUUACAGCAGGUAUACUAACAAUAGGUUUCAUCCGAAAUAAAGGUUGAC
ensembl:lncRNA